rnacentral:rRNA from 1 species
UACGUAGGUGGCAAGCGUUGUCCGGAUUUACUGGGCGUAAAGGGAGCGUAGGCGGACUUUUAAGUGAGAUGUGAAAUACCCGGGCUCAACUUGGGUGCUGCAUUUCAAACUGGAAGUCUAGAGUGCAGGAGAGGAGAAUGGAAUUCCUAGUGUAGCGGUGAAAUGCGUAGAGAUUAGGAAGAACACCAGUGGCGAAGGCGAUUCUCUGGACUGUAACUGACGCUGAGGCUCGAAAGCGUGGGGAGCGAAACAGGAUUAGAUACCCCGGUAGU